AAUAUCUUGAACGAGCGUAGCCCUAAUUUUGAAAGCAGGAGACUGUCGAUCAUUGAGGUCAUCAGUGAAUGAAUCUUUAGAGCGGAACUCCAGCUUUAUUUUCACUUCAUAUACAGGCUCCAUUGUUGUAGAUGUUUCUGCUACACUAGUAGUGGAUGUUUCAGAAGCAGUUGUGAUUGUGGAAGUCUCUGUUGUUGUAGAUGUUUCUGCUGCACUAGUGGUGGAUGUUUUAGCAGGAGUGGCUGUGAGUGUGGAUGUCUCUGUUGUUGUAGAUGUUUCUGCUAAAAUAAAAGUGGAUGUUUCAACUGGACUUGUUAUGAUUGUGGAAGUCUCUGUUGUUGAAGAUAUUCCUGCUACACUAAUAUUGGAUGUUUCAGAUGAAAUUGUUGUGAUUGUGGAAGUCUUUGUUAUUGAUGAUGUUUCUGUUGCACUAGCGGUGGAUGUUUCAGCAGGAAUUGUUGUGAUUGUGGAAGUCUCUGAUGUUGAAGAUGUUUCUGUUGCCCUAGUGAUGGAUGUUUCAGUGGGAAUUGUUGUGAUUGUGGAAGUCUCUGUUGUUGAAGAUAUUUCUGCUACACUAGUGGUGGAUGUUUCAGCAGGAGUCGUUAUUGUGGAAGUCUCUGUGGUUGCAGAUGUUUCUGCUGUACUAGUUCUGGAUGUUUCAGCAGGAGUCUUUAUUGUGGAAUUCCCUGUUGUAGAAGAUGUUUCUGCUACACUAACGGAGGAUGUUUCAGCAGGAGUCAUGAUUGUGGAUGUCUCUUUUGUAGUAGAUAUUUCUGCUUCACUAGGGGUGGAUAUUUCAGGUGUAGUUGAUUUGAUAGUUGAAGUCUCUGUUGUUGUAGAUGUUUCUGCUACACGGAUAGUGGAUGUUUCAGAAGGAAUUGUUGUGAUUGUGGAAGUCUCUGUUGUUGUAAAUGUUUCUGCAGCACUAGUAGUAGAUAUUUCAGCAGGAGUAGUGAUUAUGGAAGUCUCUGUUGUUGUAGAUGUUUCUGCUGCACUAGUGGUGGAUGUUUCAGCAGGAAUUGUUGUGAUGGUGGAUAUCUGUGUAGUAGAUGUUUCUUUUGCAAUGGUGGUGGGUGUUUCAGCAGGUAUUGUUGGGAUUGUGGAAGUCUCUGUUGUUAAAGAUGUUUCUGCUGCAUUAGAGGUGGAUGUUUCAGCAGGAAUAGUGAUUGUGAAACUCUCUGUUGUUGUAGAUGUUUCUGCAACACUAAAAGUGGAUAUUUCAGCUGCAGUUGUUGUGAGUGUUGAAGUCUCUGUUGUUGAAGAUAUUUCUACUACACUAAUAGUGGAUGUUUCAGCAGGAGUCGUGAUUGUGGAAGUCUCCAUUGUUGUAGAUGUUUCUGCUACACUGAUAGUAGAGGUUUCAGCAGGAAUUGUUGUGAUUGUGGAAGUCUCUGUUGUUGAAAAUAUUUCUGCUACACUAGUGGUGGGUGUUUCAGCAGGAGAAGAUGUGAAUGUAGCAGUCUCUGUUGUUAUAGAUGUUUCUGCUACACUAGGGGUGGGUUUUUCAGCAGGAAUCGUUAUUGUUGAAGACUCUUUUGUUGUAGAUAUUUCUGUUUCACUGAUAGUAGAUAUUUCAGCAGAAGUAGUGAUUGUGGAAGUCUUUGUUAUUGAUGAUGUUUCUGUUGCACUAGCGGGGGAUGUUUUAGCAGGAGUUGCUGUGAUUGUGGAUGUGUCUGUUGUUGUAGAUGUUUCUGCUGCACUAAUAGUGGAUGUUUCAGCAGGAAUUGUUGUGAUUGUGGAAGUCUCUGAUGUUGAAGAUGUUUCUGUUGCCCUAGUGAUGGAUGUUUCAGUGGGAAUUGUUGUGAUUGUGGAAGCCUCUGUUGUCGAAGAUUUUUCUGCUACACUUAUAGUCGAUGUUUCAGCCACCGUUGUUGUGAUUGUGGAAGUCUCUGUUGAUGUAGAUGUUUCUGCUUUACUAGUGGUGGAUGUUUCAGUGGGAGUCGUUAUUGUGGAAGUCUCUGUGGUUGCAGAUGUUUCUGCUGUACUAGUUCUGGAUGUUUCAGCAGGAGUCUUUAUUGUGGAAUUCCCUGUUGUAGAAGAUGUUUCUGCUACACUAACGGAGGAUGUUUCAGCAGGAGUCAUGAUUGUGGAUGUCUCUUUUGUAGUAGAUAUUUCUGCUUCACUAGGGGUGGAUAUUUCAGGUGUAGUUGAUUUGAUAGUUGAAGUCUCUGUUGUUGUAGAUGUUUCUGCUACACGGAUAGUGGAUAUUACAGCUGGAGUUGUUGUGCUUGUGGAAGUCUCUGUGGUUAAAGAUGUUUCUGCUGCACUAGUGGUGGAUGUUUCAGAAGGAAUUGUCGUGAUUGUGGAAGUCUCUUUUGUUGUAGAUAUUUCUGCUUCACUGAUAGUAGAUAUUUCAGCAGGAGUAGUGAUUAUGGAAGUCUCUGUUGUAGUAGAUUUUUCUGCUGCACUAGUAGUGGAUGUUUCAGCAGGAGUCGUUGUUGUGGAAGUCUCUGUUGUAGUAGAUGUUUCUGCUGCACUACUGGUGGAUGUUUCAGCAGGAGUAGUUAUUGUAGAAGUCUCUGUUGUUGUAAAUGUUUCUGCUGCAUUAGAGGUGGAUGUUUCAGCAGGAAUAGUGAUUGUGAAACUCUCUGUUGUUGUAGAUGUUUCUGCAACACUAAAAGUGGAUAUUUCAGCUGCAGUUGUUGUGAGUGUUGAAGUCUCUGUUGUUGUAGAUGUUUCUGCUACACUGAUAGUAGAGGUUUCAGCAGGAAUUGUUGUGAUUGUGGAAGUCUCUGUUGUUGAAAAUAUUUCUGCUACACUAGUGUUGGGUGUUUCAGCAGGAGAAGAUGUGAAUGUAGCAGUCUCUGUUGUUAUAGAUGUUUCUGCUACACUAGGGGUGGGUUUUUCAGCAGGAAUCGUUAUUGUUGAAGACUCUUUUGUUGUAGAUAUUUCUGUUUCACUGAUAGUAGAUAUUUCAGCAGAAGUAGUGAUUGUGGAAGUCUCUGUUGUUGUAGAUGUUUCUGAUGCACUAGUGGUUAAUGUUUCAGCAAUUGUCAUUGUUGUGGAAGUCUCUGUUGUUGUAGAUGUUUCUGCUGCACUAGUUCUGGAUGUUUCAGAAGGAGUCUUUAUUGUGGAAUUCUCUGUUGUAGUAGAUGUUUCUGUUGCACUAGUUGUGGGUGUUUCAGCAGGAGUUGAUGUGAUUGUGAAAUUAUCUGUUGUUGAAGAUGUUUCUGCUUUACUAGUGGUGGAUGUUUCAGUGGGAGUCGUUAUUGUUGAAGUCUCUGUGGUUGCAGAUGUUUCUGCUGUACUAGUUCUGGAUGUUUCAGAAGGAGUCUUUAUUGUGGAAUUCUCUGUUGUAGAAGAUGUUUCUGUUGCACUAGUUGUGGGUGUUUCAGCAGGUAAUGUUGGGAUUGUGGAAGUCUCUGUUGUUGAAGAUAUUUCUGCUACACUAACGGAGGAUGUUUCAGCAGGAGUCCUGAUUGUGGAUGUUUCUUUUGUAGUAGAUAUUUCUGCCUCACUAGGGGUGGAUAUUUCAGGUGUAGUUGAUUUGAUUAUGGAAGUCUCUGUUGUUGUAGAUGUUUCUGCUGCACUAGUAGUGGAUGUUUCAGCUGGAAUUAUUGUGAUUGUUGAAGUCUCUGUUGUAGAUAUUUCUGCUGCACUGAUAGUGGAUGUUUCAGCUGGAAUUGUUGUGAUUGUGGAACUCUCUGUUGUUGUAGAUGUUUGUGUUACAUUGAUAGUAGAGGUUUCAGCAGGAAUUGUUGUGAUUGUGGAAGUCUCUGUUGUUGAAGACGUUUCUGCAGCACUAGUGGUGGAUGUUUCAGCAGGAAUUUUUGUGAUGGUGGAUAUCUGUGUAGUAUAUUUUUCUGCUGCACUAGUAUUGGAUGUUUCAGCAGGAGUCGUUGUUUUGGAAGUCUCUGUUGUAGUAUAUGUUUCUGCUGCACUAUUGGUGGAUGUUUCAGCAGGUAUUGUUGGGUUUGUGGAAGUCUCUGUUGUUAAAUAUGUGUCUGUGGUACUAGUGGUGUAUGUUUCAACAGGAAUUGUUGGGAUUCUGGAAGUCCCUGUUGUUGUAGAAGUUUCUGCUGCACUAGUAGUGGAGGUUUCAGCAGGAUUCAUGACUGUAGAAAUCUCUUUGGUAGUAGAUGUUUCUGCUCCACUAGAGGUGGAUGUUUCAGCAAGAAUAGUGAUUGUGGAAAUCUCUGUUGUUGAAGAUAUUUCUGCUACACUAAUAGUGGAUGUUUCAGCAGGAGUCGUGAUUGUGAAAGUCUCCAUUGUUGUAGAUGUUACUGCUACACUAGUUGUGGAUGUUUUAGCAGGAGAAGGUGUGAUUGUAGUAGUCUCUGUUGUUAUAGAUGUUUCUGCUACACUAAUAGUGGAUGUUUCACCCGGAGGUGUUGUGAAUGUUGAAGUCUCUGUUGUUGAAAAUAUUUCUGCUACACUAGUGGUGGGUGUUUCAGCAGGAAUCAUUAUUGUUGAAGACUCUUUUGUUGUAGAUGUUUCUGUUUCACUGAUAGUAGAUAUUUCAGCAGAAGUAGUGAUUGUGGAAGUCUCUGUUGUUGUAGAUGUUUCUGUUGCACUAGUGGUGGAUGUUUCAGCAGGAGUCUUGAUUGUGGAAGUCUCUGUUGUUGUAGAUGUUUCUGUUACACUGAUAGUAAAGGUUUCAGCAGGAAUUGUUGUGAUUGUGGAAGUCUCUGUUGAAGAUGUUUCUGCUGCACUAUUGGUGGAUGUUUCAGCAGGUACUGUUGGGUUUGUGGAAGUCUCUGUUGUUAAAUAUGUGUCUGUGGUACUAGUGGUGUAUGUUUCAACAGGAAUUGUUGGGAUUCUGGAAGUCCCUGUUGUUGUAGAAGUUUCUGCUGCACUAGUAGUGGAGGUUUCAGCAGGAUUCAUGACUGUAGAAAUCUCUUUGGUAGUAAAUGUUUCUGCUGCAUUAGAGGUGGAUGUUUCAGCAAGAAUAGUGAUUGUGGAAAUCUCUGUUGUUGAAGAUGUUUCUGCUACACUGAUAGUAGAGGUUUCAGCAGGAAUUGUUGUGAUUGUGAAAGUCUCUGUUGUUGAAAAUAUUUCUGCUACACUAGUGGUGGGUGUUUCAGCAGGAAUCGUUAUUGUUGAAGACUCUUUUGUUGUAGAUGUUUCUGUUUCACUGAUAGUAAAUAUUUCAGCAGAAGUAGUGACUGUGGAAGUCUCUGUUGUUGUAGAUGUUUCUGUUGCACUAGUGGUGGAUGUUUCAGCAUUUGUCAUUAUUGUGGAAGUCUCUGUUGUUGUAAUUGUUUCUGCCGCACUAGUAGUGGAUGUUACAGCAGGAGUCGUGAUUGUGGAAGUCUCUGUUGUUGUAGAUGUUUCUGUUGCACUAGUGCUGGAUGUUUCUUCAGCAGUCAUCAUUGUGGAAGUCCCUGUUCUUGUAGAUGUUUCUGCUGCACUAGUAGAGGAUGUUUCAUCUGGAAUUGUUGUGAUUGUGGAACUCUCUGUUGUUGUAGAUAUUUCUGUUACAUUGAUAGUAAAGGUUUCAGCAGGAAUUGUUGUGAUUGUGGAAGUCUCUGUUGUUGUAGAUGUUUCUGUUGCACUAGUGCUGGAUGUUUCUUCAGCAGUCAUCAUUGUGGAAGUCCCUGUUCUUGUAGAUGUUUCUGCUGCACUAGUAGAGGAUGUUUCAGCAGGAAUUGUUGUGAUUGUGGAAGUCUCUGUUGAAGACGUUUCUGCAGCACUAGUGGUAGAUGUUUCAGCAGGAAUUUUUGUGAUUGUGGAAGUCUCUGUUGUUGAAGACGUUUCUGCAUCACUAGUGGUGGAUGUUUCAUCAGGAAUUGAUGUGAUGGUGAAUAUCUGUGUAGUAGAUUUUUCUGCUAUACUAGUAGUGGAUGUUUCAGCAGGAGUCGUUGUUGUGGAAGUCUCUGUUGUAGUAGAUGUUUCUGCUGCAUUACUGGUGGAUGUUUCAACAGGAAUUGUUGGGAUUCUGGAAGUCUCUGUUGUUGUAGAAGUUUCUGCUGCACUAGUAGUGGAUGUUUCAGCAGGAUUCAUGACUGUAGAAAUCUCUUUGGUAGUAGAUGUUUCUGCUCCACUAGUGGUGGAUGUUUCAGCAGGAGUAGUGAUUGUGGAAGUCUCUGUUGUUGUAGAUAUUUCUGCUGCUUUAGUGGUGGAUGUUUCAGCAGAAGUUGUUGUGAUUGUGGAAGUUUCUGUUGUUGUAGAUGUUUCUGCUGCACUAGUGGUGGAUGUUUCAGGAGGAGUCGUGGAUGUGAAAGUCUCCAUUGUUGUAGAUGUUUCUGCUACACUGAUAGUGGAUGUUUUAGCUGGAGUUGUUAUGAUUGUGGGAAUCUCUGUUGUUGAAAAUAUUUCUGUGACACUAGUGGUGGAUGUUUCAUCAGGAUUCGUGACUGUGGAAGUCUCUUUGGUAGUUGAUGUUUCUGCUUCACUAGUGUUGGAUGUUUCAGUAGGAGUAGUAAUUGUGAAAGUCUCUGUUGUUGUAUAUGUUUCUGCUACACUUAAAGUGGAUGUUUCAGCAGAAGUUGUUGUGAGUGUGGAAGUCUCUGUUGUUAAAUAUGUGUCUGUGGCACUAGUGGUGUAUGUUUCAACAGGAAUUGUUGGAAUUCUGGAAGUCCCUGUUGUUGUAGAAGUUUCUGCUUCACUAAUAGUGGAUUUUUCAGCAGUAGUCGUGAUUGUGAAAGUCUCCAUUGUUGUAGAUGUUUCUGCUACACUGAUGGUGGAUGUUUCAGCAGAAAUUAUUUUGAUUGUGGAAGUCUCUGUUGUUGUAGAUGUUUUUUCUGCACUAGUGGUGGAUGUUUCAGUAGGAGUCGUUAUAGUGGAAGUGUCUGUUGUUGUAGGUGUUUGUGUUGCACUAAUUGUGGGUGUUUCACUGAUAGUGGAUAUUUCAGCUGGAUUUGUUGUGAUUGUGGAAGUCUCUUUUGUAGUAGAUGUUUCUGGUGCACUAGUGGUGGAUGUUUCAGCAAUAGUCGUGAAUGUGGGAGUCUCCAUUGUUGAAGACGUUUCUACAUCACUAGUGGUGGAUGUUUCGGCAGGAAUUGUUGUGAUGGUGGAUAUCUGUGUAGUAGAUUUUUCUGCUGCACUAGUAGUGGAUGUUUCAGCAGGAGUCAUUGUUGUGGAAGUCUCCAUUGUUGUAGAUGUUUCUGCUACACUGAUUGUGGUUAUUUCAGCAGGAAUUGUUGUGAUUGUGGAAGUCUCUGUUGUUGAAGAUGUUGCUGUAGCACUAGUGCUGGAUGUUUCAGGUGGAGUUGUUAUGAUUGUCGAAGUCUCUGUUGUAGAUAUUUCUGCUGCACUAGUAGUGGAUGUUUCAGUUGUAGUUGUUAUGAUUGUGGACUGCUCUGUUUUUGUUGUAGAUGUUGCCGCAGGAGUUGUGGUUGUUGAUAG
ensembl:lncRNA